GAGCCAGUGCCUUGCGUGCUUACCAUGCAAGUCGAACGAUGAAGCCCAGCUUGCUGGGUGGAUUAGUGGCGAACGGGUGAGUAACACGUGAGUAACCUGCCCUUAACUCUGGGAUAAGCCUGGGAAACUGGGUCUAAUACCGGAUAGGAGCGUCCACCGCAUGGUGGGUGUUGGAAAGAUUUAUCGGUUUUGGAUGGACUCGCGGCCUAUCAGCUUGUUGGUGAGGUAAUGGCUCACCAAGGCGACGACGGGUAGCCGGCCUGAGAGGGUGACCGGCCACACUGGGACUGAGACACGGCCCAGACUCCUACGGGAGGCAGCAGUGGGGAAUAUUGCACAAUGGGCGAAAGCCUGAUGCAGCGACGCCGCGUGAGGGAUGACGGCCUUCGGGUUGUAAACCUCUUUCAGUAGGGGAAGAAACGAAAGUGACGGUACCUGCAGAAGAA
rnacentral:rRNA from 1 species